rnacentral:rRNA from 1 species
CAGCAGCCGCGGUAAUACGGAGGGAGCUAGCGUUGUUCGGAAUUACUGGGCGUAAAGCGCACGUAGGCGGCUUUGUAAGUUAGAGGUGAAAGCCUGGAGCUCAACUCCAGAACUGCCUUUAAGACUGCAUCGCUUGAAUCCAGGAGAGGUGAGUGGAAUUCCGAGUGUAGAGGUGAAAUUCGUAGAUAUUCGGAAGAACACCAGUGGCGAAGGCGGCUCACUGGACUGGUAUUGACGCUGAGGUGCGAAAGCGUGGGGAGCAAACAGGAUUAGAUACCCGAGUAGUCCCUGUCUCUUAUAC